AAAGAUGGUGAACUAUGCCUGAAUAGGGUGAAGCCAGAGGAAACUCUGGUGGAGGCUCGUAGCGAUACUGACGUGCAAAUCGUUCGUCUGACUUGGGUAUAGGGGCGAAAGACUAAUCGAACCGUCUAGUAGCUGGUUCCCUCCGAAGUUUCCCUCAGGAUAGCUGGAGCUCUUUUUUUCAGUUUUGUCAGGUAAAGCGAAUGAUUAGAGGUCUUGGGGCUGAAACAGCCUUAACCUAUUCUCAAACUUUAAAUGGGCAAGGUGGUGGGUGCUUAAUUGACCCGCCGCGUUGAAUGUGAGCUCCAAGUGGGCCAUUUUUGGUAAGCAGAACUGGCGAUGCGGGAUCAACCGAACGUCG
rnacentral:rRNA from 1 species